GAGCAAAGAGAAAAGAAGAAGAACUCAGAUAUCUUGAGGAAGAUUGCCCCAAGGUACUCAAUAUCUCUAAUCAGCAGGAAGUAGUCUAGAGAGACCUUUGUGCCUUUCCCCUCUAACCUUCUUUACUAACUCCUACCUAGUGUUGGGAGUUGGAAGGGUGGUAGGUAUAAGAACCCAAUAAAUUAGUAGCCAAAAAAGUAGCACCUACAGAUAAGGAAACCACGGGUUGCAUCAGAGGUUGACCAAGGCUGGCUGUGUCCCUAGAGUGGGGGCACCAGGAGACCUGAGAACAUUAAAAUAAAAACUGGUCUCCUAGACUGUAGCAAAGUUGUUGAAGUAGGAAAGUUUAAAGCAAAAAGUGAUGUGUGUGCACAUGCACAUGUGUGUAUCUUUGUGUGUAACACUGUGUGUAUAUAUGUGCAUGUGUGUAUCUAUGUGUAUGUAUCAAUGUGUAUUUGUGUGUAUUUAUGUGUAUGUGUGUAUGUAUGUGUAUCUUUGUGUGUGUGUGUGUUUAUGUGUGUAUUUAUGUGUCUCAUCACUUCUGUCACAUGCACUAAACUUGAACUUCAGAAAGACAAUCACCCCACCUGUACCGGGGGCACCCCCAGACCCCGCAUUAGCACUUCGCCUGCAGUAAGUCCUCCAUAAAUGAAGAAGUCUGAGACAAACACUUGCGGCACCAAGUUCUGCUCCAUCCGCCCCCCCUCCAGCGUGAUCCUGGAUCCCCUUCCCCUUCUCUAAGCUCAGUGUAUGUCAUCUGUAAGCGGUCCUGACCUCCAUGCCAACUCCUGAGGGCUUAUGAAUCAACAGGAGGCAAACACAGCCAAACUGCCCAGCUCCAAAAUCAACAAAAAGCGUGGUGCUGCUGUUCUCGAGACUG
rnacentral:lncRNA from 1 species